UACCAGCACCCCGAGUGGUCGGGACGAUUAUUGGGCCUAAAGCAUCCGUAGCCGGUCUACAAGUCUUCCGUUAAAUCCACCUGCUUAACAGAUGGGCUGCGGAGGAUACUAUGGAGCUAGGAGGCGGGAGAGGCAAGCGGUACUUAGUGGGUAGGGGUAAAAUCCGUUGAUCCAUUGAAGACCACCAGUGGCGAAGGCGGCUUGCCAGAACGCACUCGACGGUGAGGGAUGGAAAGCUGGGGGAGCAAACCGG
rnacentral:rRNA from 1 species